UGCAGGAGGUUGAGGUCGCGGCCUUCGUUUCUCCCGGGGAGGACCACGGACACGAUCGUGGUCUCUGCAGCCUCUUCUCCUCCCCCUGCCCUGUCUUCGGAAAGAGGGCUGCAGAGAGGAGGGGGGAGCCCCACCGCCCAGGACUCCGCAUUCGUCUUCCGUGUCGGCUCCGAGUGGUGGAAGAAACACUAGCAAAUGUUUCUGCUACAAAGUUCUGGAGCCAGAAGUCCGAGAUCAAGGUGUUGGCAGGUUUGGUUUCUUCGAAGUCUCCCUCCUUGGUUUCUAGACGGCUUCCUUCCUGUGGUCUCACCUGGUCUUUCUGCUGU
rnacentral:lncRNA from 1 species